rnacentral:rRNA from 1 species
UACAGAGGUCUCAAGCGUUGUUCGGAUUCAUUGGGCGUAAAGGGUGCGUAGGCGGCGCGGUAAGUCGGGUGUGAAAUCUCGGAGCUUAACUCCGAAACUGCAUUCGAUACUGCCGUGCUUGAGGACUGGAGAGGAGACUGGAAUUUACGGUGUAGCGGUGAAAUGCGUAGAUAUCAGGAGGAACACCUGUGGUGUAGACGGCUCUCUGGACCGCAACUGACGCUGAGACACGAAAGCGUGGGUAGCAAACAGG